UAGGGAAUCUUCGGCAAUGGACGAAAGUCUGACCGAGCAACGCCGCGUGAGUGAAGAAGGUUUUCGGAUCGUAAAACUCUGUUGUUAGAGAAGAACAAGGACGUUAGUAACUGAACGUCCCCUGACGGUAUCUAACCAGAAAGCCACGGCUAACUACGUGCCAGCAGCCGCGGUAAUACGUAGGUGGCAAGCGUUGUCCGGAUUUAUUGGGCGUAAAGCGAGCGCAGGCGGUUUCUUAAGUCUGAUGUGAAAGCCCCCGGCUCAACCGGGGAGGGUCAUUGGAAACUGGGGGACUUGAGUGCAGAAGAGGAGAGUGGAAUUCCAUGUGUAGCGGUGAAAUGCGUAGAUAUAUGGAGGAACACCAGUGGCGAAGGCGGCUCUCUGGUCUGUAGCUGACGAUGAGGCUCGAAAGCGUGGGGAGCAAACAGG
rnacentral:rRNA from 1 species